GCCGGUAAACGCCGAAGAAGAAGUUGAGCUGCUAUUUUUUAUUAUUUUGUUGUUGUUUUUUUUUACGACGCAGUAACUAAAGAUGCAAGUUGUUUUUUGUCCAGAACGUGCACUCAGCGACUUUCAGUCCAUGAAGAGCUGCAACUCUCGUAUUUAUCCGCACUGAAGACUGCUGAGAAGGCUACAUCCAAGAGACAAAGUCGUUUUCAUCAUCCACAGUUCCCUUCUCAUGACGAAGCCAUCACAAUGUUGGAGGGCCUUGUUGCUUGGGUCUUAAACACGUACCUGGGGAAAUAUGUCAGCAACUUGAAUACAGAUCAGCUCUCCAUUGCCCUCUUA